rnacentral:lncRNA from 1 species
UACUUUUUCAAAAGGUCCUAUGCGCCAAAAGUAAACAAACUGAGUUAUUCAAUGCAUGACGGUCUGCAUAUCCGAAACUACACUAUCCUCAAACCCGAUUUCUUCUAAGUAUUUAAUUUUUAAAAAUAUUAGCGAAAUGCAAAAUAACCUAUGAGCAUUCUCUUAAAUUUUUAUACAAAAUAAUUUACGUCGUUUUACCUCUCAGUGUCCUAUGUGCAUUCAGUAAAAUGAUGCACAUACGACAAUAACAAAUCAACCUAUGUACAAUUUUAAAUAUAUUUCAAUCAUUAUGCACAUACGCUAAUAUAAUAACGACGUAUGUACGCAUUUUAUUGAAUAAUUAGAAAGUAAUGAUAGAUUUUUUUAUAUCCAUAUAUCUUUUUAAAAAUAAUGUUUGUCUAGGAUCCGGUUAACGUGCAGACGUCAGCUGUAAGAGAGUAUGAAAUGUUUCAAUGCCUGACACAGCAAAAGAGAAGAGCGAAAUUUAACCAAUGAGCUCUCUCUCUCGAAUCUGGCGGAUACGACUCCCAGCAUGACAAACCAAAACAACUCAUAAAACAGCAUAAAAUAUGUUUUUUGUUUUGGUUCAUAGGAUCGCGAACAGAUCAUUGUUGUGGACUGUUUGAGUUUAAAAAAAAAGUGUCGGAGGGCGAAGAAUUGCGGCAACAAAAAAAUACGACUCCUCCCAAACGGCAUCAAGUCGGCAACCUAACAGACUCGUUCAUGCCCCCUGGCAGUUUGCGGCGUUCGAUUCAUACGAGCACUUUACCCAGUACUCGGACGAGAUCCUGGACUUGCUCGGAGACAUGACUACGAGGCGUUCGUCAACUCGAAGAUGCUGGAGAUGGUAAAUGCGCGCGAUUCGGAACGCCGCAUAAGCACCUCGAUCAACGCAAUUGAUUCCAGUUUUGUGCGACUCGCGCUCUUCAAAUCCCCAGCUGACCUCACCCGUCGGCCAAGCAACAGCCGUAGAACCCGUUCGGAGAUCCAACCCCUGAGAUCGGAAUAAUUCUUUGGCGAAGAGCAAGGAUCUCAGGGCAGCUCCUAAAUCAACAUCAUGUAUCCUUCGUUACCGCAGGUUCAACCGAUCGCUCACCCCCAAUCCGUCGUUGUUCUCCCCGGAGUACAUCGUCAUCGACGGAGGUUACUCGACGCAUCUGUCGAAGCAAGUUAGCCAGACCAUGCUGGGCAGUGAAGUAGCAGAUACAACGCAACCAACCCGAACGCGGUCACCGAAACUCAUCUGGACAUCUUCAAAGCUGGUGCCGAUUACAUCGUGAUCAACACGUACCUCCAUCGAAUGACCAUCUCGUGUCAAAAGGAAGCGGAAGUCCGGCUGAAACAUCCAACGGGUUUCUUUGAGAUUUCCAGUGCAAAAAUGGCGACAACACAUGUACAAUAUGUUGCGUCAACAUGAAAUAAAGUCAAUAAAUUUAGUUAUACAUUUUGUAAAUCAUAACCUUACGAAAAAUACAGUCAAAAAUGGUGAAUCUA